UCGCUUCCCCAGUGAAUUUGCCUGCUAAAAAUAGAUGAGCAAUUGUCUGAAACUACAAGAGAGCCAAGAUGAUGCAAAGGCUCUGUGGGAAAUCUAUGCCAUGGAUAGAGAGCCAGCCUAGAUGCAAGAGGACCCAGGUCCACAGAAGGAAGUGGCCGCCUACCCACAGUUUCUAAACGAUGAUGUCCAACUUUAAUGAACAAUUCAGAAAAAAAAAGUAGAAGGCUUCUGUGUUAGUCAGCUUUCCAUCACUGUGACAGAAUGCCUGAAAAUAACCUACAGGUUUUUCUUGGCUCUUGGUGUCAGAAGUUUUAGUCUGCAGCAGGCUGGCUGUUUUGCUGCCAGGCCUGUGCCCAGGCAAAAACACACAGCAGAAGAGCUGGGCAGAAGAAAGGUGCAUCCUUCAUAGCAGCCAGGCAGCUCAGAAGGUGAGAGAGCCAGAGGAGAAGGAGUGGGGACCCGACGCAGCCCCCAGCACUGUGCCCAGUGAUCGCUCUCCUCAGUUGUCCUAUUUCCUGUUCUCUCCUCAAAGUGCCAUGCAAUUAACAGUUUAUCAGUGGGCUAAUCCACUGAUGAAGUUAGAAACCUCACCAUGAUCCAGUCACCUUCUAAAAGCUCAUUGGCUGGCAGCUAAGCCCCCACCCUCCCCAGCCACUCCGCUUUGGGGGACUUUUUAUAUUCAGAUCACUAUAGCUUUUGAUGCUGUGCAAGACUGAUCAACUCAUUUCUGUUGAAAUAUUGCUUUUUUGUGGUUGUGGCAUGCUCAGUGGGAUCCUUAGAUAAACAGCCCUGGAAAAGACAAAAAGGAAAAGCACAGGUGUGGAGGCAUCAAAGGAGCCUCUUGAGGCUGCUGUUCUGCAGUGAACCACAGCCCCAGUUACUUAGGCCCUGCCUGGAUUACUGUUCCUGGGAGCCUCUCCUCUGAGGGUUUGCGUCUCUGCUGUAAGACAUAAUCUUCCAUAUAACUCGGAUUCUUAAUUAUGCAGUCUUCAAAAUAGAUAUAGAAAAAAAUUCAGUAAAACGAUCUGUAUUCUUUUAUGGAAAAAAAUUAGAUUCUACACGUUUUCAGUUUGAGUUAGCAUGAUGACCCACAGGGGUUUACCCGCGGAGGGAAACACCCUGGGUCCCUCUGUGCAGCCAGUAAUUGCAUCCUGCUCUUUAUCUCAUUCAUUAGAGGUUAACUAAUUAGCACCCAGCUGGCUCUAUUUUUAACUAAUUCAUUUCUCUGUCUUCUCUCCUUGGCGCUCAAUGUUGUAGUGUGUCCUAGACCCUAACCCAUUUAUCUUGUGUUUUCUCCUAGACUCUAGCACCCUCAAUCUCCUCACUGAGUAACUGAGUAACAAGAUUUGUCUUCCUUUCUAGAUGACCCAAGGACCACCUGGAUACCACUUUGGGUCUGAACCGUAUUUUCUCUAGAUUUGCUCUAGUUUGGCACCUUGAAAAAGGGCACAGGAUGUGCAGCCUAACAUAUGUGGGUUUUGAUACCAGCCUGGUCAUUGAAGGUCAGUUCUGACCUUCAAUUUCCCCAUUUUUCUAGUGGGUAUAUUACUGACAGCAUCAAGAUCAAUGUUUCAUUCAACAAAACUUAUUUCCUUUCUCCUGCGUAAUUUUUUUAAUGUUAAAAAAAUGUGAACUAAGUGGGGUGCACGUGUUUAAAUAUUGCAUUGUCUGUCUGGCGUGAGAAAGUGAAAGUAUAAAUGAGGGCUAAAAUGUGUAAUAGAUACUGGGAAAUGGGAACAAAAUGUUCAAAUGAGAAAGGGAACGAGGGGGGAAGGGCAUAGGAAACAAAAAUGGGAACGAACUUUUUGUAAAUAAGCAAGGGAAUUGGGGUUGAAGGGAGGAGAAAGGAAUGGAAAAAAAAGAAGCAAGUUAUAUGAUGUACAGGGACAAACUCCCUAUGAUAAACAUGAUCAUUACAUGUAUCUAACAUGUACCAAUAAAAUUAAAACAUGCAAAAAAGUAAAUUUGCACUGAACGGUAAAAUAAAAUUAAAACAAAAGCUAAGAGAUAUUUUUGAGGGACCACUUCUGGUUCAUCCAUUAUUCUCUCUACAAAAUGUAGGUGGCAAAAUUAAAAAUUCAUUGGAACACACAGGUGGGUUUUGUGUCGUGAAGGCAGGUUGCUCCGUUGGCCCAGCGGCUGGCCUCGCUGUUUGCCCGAGUGUUUUCUUGGUCAACGUAACAUGAAAAGCUUCUGUGUUCUUUCUGCUGCUUCCCAUCAUCCUGGGCUGCCCCAUUCUCCCAGUCCCCUUGACUUGACACCAUGCCAACCACAUUUUAUUGCGAUUGUUUUGGAGACAGGGUCUUGCUGUGUAGUCCAGGAUGACCUCAAACUCACAGCAACCCUCCAUCCUCAGCUCCUGAGUGCUGAGAUUAUAACCUUGUGCACCAUGCCCGCUUCAUACCACCCACAUAAUCCCAGCACAAAUCUCAGGGUCUCAGAGAAACCUGUGGCCACUCCUUUCUUCUAAUUUUUCUCCGGCCCUUACUGCCUUUCACAUUAAUUUCUUACCAUUUCUUGCACAGUGAUUGUCUUUUCCAGCACUGUGUGAGAAACGUCCUUGAUGCAGUGGUGAUUACAAAAAGGCCGUCAGACCGAAUUAAGGUGCGCAGGUCCCACGGUUGAUUGAAUCACUUAAAAACCACCAGUGUUUCCAAGGGGAAAGAUGGGAGGGAGGGAGGCAAACCCACACAGGUUAGGGUGCAAAUGAGGGGAAGAACCACUGCCUGAUGGCCAGUGCCUCACUGUCCAUCUGAGCACUCCAGCUUUUCCUAUUCACAGGCUACUUAUGCUACAAACAUGGAGGUUUGAACAAGGAGGUCUGCAGAGGAAACUGCCUGGAGCCGAAGCAGUCUUCUCCAUCAGAAAAAUGACAGGCGAGUACGCCCAGUCAAAUAGCGCCUCACUAAGCAGCCAUGGGUUUCUCUGUGUGUAGGCAAAGCAUAUGUCAGGCCAGAUGAGGGCCUAAUGGUGUCACCAAUGGAGGCUGACUUGGGGAUAACGUAGCGGUCUCACUAGAUGCGGCACAAUCCAUUCUUUGUAUGACCUGGCCCUUCUGUCUUUUCUGUCCACCAGCAACAUCUUCAUCCUUUUCAAAAAAGUACACAACAUAAAAGUCACCGUUUUAAGCAUAUUUAAGUACAAUGUGGUAGUACUAAUUCAUUCUUGAUGUUGUAUAACCAUCGCUACUAUCCAUGUCCACAAUUUUUUCAUUGUGUCAAACAGAAUGUGUGAUGCAUUAAACAAUAACUCUUCAUUUCUCCUGGCCUUGAGUCCCUGGCAUCCUGUGUUCUUUCUGUCUGUAUUAUUUUGCCUUCUCUAGGUACCUGAUUUAAGUGGAAUUGCACAGUAAUUGUCCUUUUGUGUCUGGCUUACUUCAUUCACCAGAAUGUUUUCUAGGUUCAUGUUGUAGCAUGUUUCAGAAUUCCAUUCCUUUAAGGCUGACUAAUAUUACAUGUAUAUUACUUCGCUGAUUCACUUGCUUGAUGACCAUGAUGAUGUGGUUGCUUCUACAUUUUGGCUAUCAUGAAUUAUGCUUCUAUGACCACUGGCUUACAAUUGCUGGAUCAUUUGAUUAACUCUGUGUUUAACUUUUUUGAGAAACCACUUCUUUCAUCUUUUUAAAAAUCUAUGUUCUACACUCAUGUGUUCUAUGUGGUUUUCGUGAUUAGAAUUAUUUUUCUGUUAUUUUGUAGUAGAAUUAAAUGCCCUGAAAAUA